rnacentral:misc_RNA from 2 species
AACGCACAUUGCGCCCCUUGGUAUUCCAUGGGGCAUGCCUGUUCGAGCGUCAUUUGUACCCUCAAGCUUUGCUUGGUGUUGGGCGUCUUGUCUUUUAUUAGACUCGCCUUAAAGUCAUUGGCAGCCAGUGUUUUUGGUAGUAAGCGCAGCACAUUUUGCGUCUUAGUCCUUGAAUCGUGGCAUCCAUGAAGCCUCUUUUUCACUUUUGACCUCGGAUCAGGUAGGGAUACCCGCUGAACUUAA